CGACCGCUGGCGGCGUGCUUAACACAUGCAAGUCGAACGGUGAAGCGCCUUCCUUUUUGGUGGGUGUGGAUGAGUGGCGAACGGGUGAGUAACACGUGAGUAACCUGCCCCCUUCUUCUGGAUAACCGCAUGAAAGUGUGGCUAAUACGGGAUAUUCUGGGUCUGUCGCAUGAUGGGUCUGGGAAAGAUAUUGUUUCGGUGGGGGAUGGGCUCGCGGCCUAUCAGCUUGUUGGUGGGGUGAUGGCCUACCAAGGCGGUGACGGGUAGCCGGCCUGAGAGGGUGGACGGUCACACUGGGACUGAGACACGGCCCAGACUCCUACGGGAGGCAGCAGUGGGGAAUAUUGCACAAUGGGCGCAAGCCUGAUGCAGCGACGCCGCGUGAGGGAUGGAGGCCUUCGGGUUGUGAACCUCUUUCGCCAGUGAAGCAGGCCUGCCUCGUUUGUGGGUGGGUUGACGGUAGCUGGAUAAGAAGCGCCGGCUAACUACGUG
rnacentral:rRNA from 1 species